UACGGGGGGGGCGAGCGUUGUUCGGAAUUACUGGGCGUAAAGCGUGCGCAGGCGGUUCUCCAAGUCCGUUGUGAAAGCCCCGGGCUCAACCUGGGAAUGGCAGUGGAAACUAGGGGACUGGAAUCUGGCAGAGGGGGGUGGAAUGCCGCGUGUAGCAGUGAAAUGCGUAGAGAUGCGGCGGAACACCGAUGGCGAAGGCAGCCCCCUGGGCUGAGAUUGACGCUCAGGCACGAAAGCGUGGGGAGCAAACAGG
rnacentral:rRNA from 1 species